rnacentral:piRNA from 1 species
UAAGCUGAGUUUUGAAGGCUAUGACA